rnacentral:rRNA from 1 species
AUUGAACGCUGGCGGCAGGCUUAACACAUGCAAGUCGAGCGAGCGGCGGACGGGUGAGUAAUGUCUGGGAAACUGCCUGAUGGAGGGGGAUAACUACUGGCAACGGUAGCUAAUACCGCAUACCCUCAGGUGUUCACAGAGGUGAUUAGCUAGUAGGUGGGGUAAUGGCUCACCUAGGCUACGAUCCCUAGCUGGUCUGAGAGGAUGACCAGCCACAUGGGAACUGAGACACGGGCUAGACUCCUACGGGAGGCAGCAGUGGGGAAUAUGGCACAAGGGGCGCAAGCCUGAUGCAGCCACGCCGCGUGUGUGAAGAAGGCCUUCGGGUUGUAAAGCACUUUCAGCGAGGAGGCGUUACUCGCAGAAGAAGCACCGGCUAACUCCGUGCCAGCAGCCGCGGUAAUUC